rnacentral:rRNA from 1 species
CCUACGGGGGGCAGCAGUGGGGAAUAUUGCACAAUGGGCGCAAGCCUGAUGCAGCCAUGCCGCGUGUGUGAAGAAGGCCUUCGGGUUGUAAAGCACUUUCGGCGGGGAGGAAGGCGUUAAGGUUAAUAACCUUGUCGAUUGACGUUACCCGCAGAAGAAGCACCGGCUAACUCCGUGCCAGCAGCCGCGGUAAUACGGAGGGUGCAAGCGUUAAUCGGAAUUACUGGGCGUAAAGCGCACGCAGGCGGUCUGUCAAGUCGGAUGUGAAAUCCCCGGGCUCAACCUGGGAACUGCAUUCGAAACUGGCAGGCUAGAGUCUUGUAGAGGGGGGUAGAAUUCCAGGUGUAGCGGUGAAAUGCGUAGAGAUCUGGAGGAAUACCGGUGGCGAAGGCGGCCCCCUGGACAAAGACUGACGCUCAGGUGCGAAAGCGUGGGGAGCAAACAGGAUUAGAUACCCGGGUAGUC